CCCUUAGAUGUCCUGGGCUGCACGCGCGCUACACUGAUGUGUCCAGUAAGCACCUAACCUCUUCCGAGAGGAACGGGUAACCUUUGCAAAGCACAUCGUGAUGGGGAUAGAUUAUUGCAAUUAUUAGUCUUGAACGAGGAAUUCCUAGUAAGCACAAGUCAUCAGCUUGUGUUGAUUACGUCCCUGCCCUUUGUACACACCGCCCGUCGCUCCUACCGAUUGAAUGUUCCGGUGAGCUCUUCGGACUGCGCGGUCUGCAGUUUCUGCGUUCCGUGCGGAAAGUUGUGCAAACCUUAACAUUUAGAGGAAGGAGAAGUCGUAACA
rnacentral:rRNA from 1 species